rnacentral:lncRNA from 1 species
UUAAGUUCCCUGAUAUUUGAAGUCAGUGACAAGUGACAAUAAAAAUAUCUGUUUACUAACAAUAAAAAUGUCUGGUCUCAGAAACAGAAACAGAAGGGGGUUCUCGGUAGAGUAACUACCUAAACUGUAUGGUAGUUAGUGAUGGUCACCUCCUGCUACCCAGUAGGUCUGGGGUGGAGAGACUUUAAAAUAUGCUCUGGAGUUAAAGAGGAGCAUUAAGGAAACCGAAAGGACCAGUGCAUCCGGAAGGAAACAGGAAGCGAGACAAGAAAAGAGUCUUGGCUCUCCUAAGAAGCCGGCUCCUGGAGGUUUCCCCACAUCGAGGCACCGCCAGCAGCGAGCAUGGACUCUGCAGCUUGCUUGCUCCACCAAGGCAAGGCUUCAGAGCUGGAAACCUGCCACCUGCUGAAUCACCAAACAUCCCUUGGGCUCCCCUUAGAAAGAAAGAAAAACUGACCCAACCCCGGCUGGCUUUUUCCUCGGACACUUAACACUGACCAAUGAAACACCUGAACAUCCAUCCUCUCCCCUGCCUCACAGACCUCAAAAACUGCCUCUAAAACCUCAGGCAACUUCCACCAGGAUCAAUCGCACUCCUCAUUAAUCUCGCUCCUUUCUGCUCCCCCAGUCCCUACCCGUGCUGAUGUUCAACUCCCAGUGCCAGAAGGCAUGGGGAGUUCACAACACAAGCAUGGCAGGCAUUCACCAUUUCCACAACCAAACAGCCAAGCAGAAACAUCCCAAUCUGAGGACGGUAAAUUUCGGGAGAGCUAUGACAGAAGGCAGGCCUCAGAACACAGCAAAUAAACUUCCAGUCAGAAGCCAGCCUUCUGUCUUUUUUUGUAAGUGUGCGUGUGCACCGCUGAACUCUGUCCUGUCUGAAGGUGAAACGAAACAUCCAAGAAGCACCUGCCCGGAUUCUCUCAGCUCCCCAGGUCCACAGCAUCCUUCACCCUGACUGUUACUCCAGACAGUCAAAAGGGAUCAAGCGUUAACCAGAACGCGCCAGGAUGAAUGAAUCCGUUAGCUGGACCAGGGCACCGGGACCACUUAAGGAAAAUAGCCGGAGUGCGGGUUAUGACUCGGGCAGAGGCACCCACUGCUGCCGCUGAUGUGCCUGCCCUUGACAAGUCGCCUGCGAUCAGGCAGACCCCCCUCGUUCUCCGGGCGAGCCGCGACCAGAGACAACUACGCUGACGCCCCUGCAGGCCUUACUCUUUAACACCCCCACGCGGCGGGGACACGCGGGGUCUCAGAGCAGUCGCGAGCCGGGGGCUGUUACGCCGCCUGGGGAGGAGGGGCUCGCUCCUCCGGGAAGGGGGUCCCACCUGUUAUGUCGUUGGGGGGUCAUCGAAGGGCCGUGCCGAAGGGAAUCCCAACGCCGCGGGCGCCUAGCCGGCUGCGAUCAGACCAGGGGUACCAACUGUCACUCCGCCACCCGGGCUGUGGGGGUGGGGCUGCGAUUUGGGGGUCCACCCCUGAACACUGCGGGACCUCCGGCCGGCUGUCGCUCGAAAGGUCCUCGGCUCUGGGCUCUCGGGCCCCGCCACAGUCCGCUCGCCCCGAUAUGACACCAGGCAGCCUUCCAGCCCGCACGCAGCACCUCGGAAAGGUGCCCACUGACGCCUCCGCCUUCCUCCCCGCCCAAGUUGGCGGGGGAGCCCCGCCGGCGGCCCGCCCCCUCGGAGCCGGGAUCGCGGCCGCCAGAGCGCUCCCCCGCGCCCACCCCCACGAGCGGCCGCGGGGGACCGCCCGCCAGGGGCGGAAGUUAGAAGAGGAGUUCUCGUUCCUGAGGCGCCGGUACCGCUCCCACUGCUUCCCUGUUGUGACCCAUUCCCGGCGACGGGAGGAUGGAGGUGGCGGAAGACGUCAGGACCGCCGCCGCUCCCCUCCAUGCAUUUCCCCUGCCGCCGGUCAGGUUCCAUGGUGAUGCUGUUAUAGUCACUUGGUGUCCCUGAAAUCUCUGGACCCUCGACCUCACCACCCGAGGAUGCAUUACCACACCUAGACCCACGGAAUCAGAAACGCUAUUGGUGGGGUCCUCCCUGAAAUCUGGUUAACAAGCCCUCAGGGUGAACCUAAAUGCCGCUUUCCCUAAGCCCUUGAGACCCGUUUUCAUGUGAGACGCUGAAAACUUGGGAAAAAACGGAUUCAAAAUGCAGCCUGCUCCUGGCCAGGCGCUUGGGGUCUCUCGUCCUCUCCUGCAUCCCUGGCCUCUUCACCCCAGGACACUAUGCUACUGCACUUACACCGUGUUUUUACAUGACAACAGACAUUCAGUUCAGUUUGGAGUGUCAACCAAGAGCAGGAGAGUGCCUGAGCGGCUUAGUAGCCCCACUGGGUAUUAAACAUCAGUUUAAAAGAUAAAAGGAAGGCUUGCUGGUUUUUGACAUGAGUGCUGGACAGCCACUGGCUACUUCGCACUUGCUGUAACCGAGGUCAAAACAGCAUUUGCACAGAGCUGGGCUCUACUACCCCAGUAGAGCUACAAGAGAGAACUGGCUUCCUGGGUCAUUACUGUGAGUAAGGGGCACCAAUGCCCUCCAGAUAUUUGUCUCCUUCUAAAGCUUUGAAACAAUUCCCUUCAGGAAAAAAGAAAAGUUUUACUCCGGAAAGCAUCUCACUAAAGGCCAUGCUACUCAACACUUGGCAUUUAUGAGAGUGUCACAUGCCACACCUUUAAAAGGGACCGAGGGCUGUGGAGAUGACUCAGCAGGUUGAUGUACUUGCUACCAUACCUCACAGUCUGAGUUCCAUCCCCAUGUAGUACGAGAGACCCAACUCCUCCAAGCCGUCCUCUGACCUUUAUACUCCCUCCAUGACACACCUGCCCGCACAUAUGCACACAAAAUAAAACAAAUAAAUGUGAUUUACUUGAGGAUUUACAGCCAGCCUCACCCUCCCCUCCCGGACAGCCACAGCCUGUAUUCUGAAUCACCCUCCUACCCUCUGCAAUGUGACACUCAAUGCCACCAUCCUGGUACUAUUUCUGUCUUGAAGAUAACGUUGAGGACCAGAGCUGGAACCAAAAGAUGAAAAGACCUGGUCAGUAAAGGAGACUGGGGUGGGGGGGAGGGGUCAAGGAAGACAGAGACAACUCUGGUGCACAGUGGAGGCUUACCAAGAGGAGGAACAGUGAGAAGCUACUUGACAGGAGACAACUGAGGGGCCAUAGCAUCACCCCCCUUGUCCUCACCAUAUGGCUCCAAGAAUCACAGUGGACACCUAACACCUCAAGCAGCCAUCUCUAAAUGGAUUGGUUUCCCCAUGGCCCCUGCAGUAUUGCCAGAGUAACCUGCUCUUCUGUGCUGUGUGCUGCAUCGAGCCUUCUUUGCAUCUCAACACUUCUGCUUUUG